rnacentral:rRNA from 1 species
UGAGAGCGGCGCACGGGUGCGGAACACGUGUGCAACCUGCCUUUAUCUGGGGGAUAGCCUUUCGAAAGGAAGAUUAAUACCCCAUAAUAUGUUGGAUGGCAUCAUUCGACAUUGAAAACUCCGGUGGAUAGAGAUGGGCACGCGCAGGAUUAGAUAGUUGGUGAGGUAACGGCUCACCAAGUCAACGAUCCUUAGGGGGCCUGAGAGGGUGAUCCCCCACACUGGUACUGAGACACGGACCAGACUCCUACGGGAGGCAGCAGUGAGGAAUAUUGGACAAUGGGUGAGAGCCUGAUCCAGCCAUCCCGCGUGAAGGAUGACGGCCCUAUGGGUUGUAAACUUCUUUUGUAUAGGGAUAAACCUACUCUCGUGAGAGUAGCUGAAGGUACUAUACGAAUAAGCACCGGCUAACUCCGUGCCAGCAGCCGCGGUAAUACGGAGGGUGCAAGCGUUAUCCGGAUUUAUUGGGUUUAAAGGGUCCGUAGGCGGAUUUGUAAGUCAGUGGUGAAAUCUCACAGCUUAACUGUGAAACUGCCAUUGAUACUGCAAGUCUUGAGUGUUGUUGAAGUAGCUGGAAUAAGUAGUGUAGCGGUGAAAUGCAUAGAUAUUACUUAGAACACCAAUUGCGAAGGCAGGUUACUAAGCAACAACUGACGCUGAUGGACGAAAGCGUGGGGAGCGAACAGGAUUAGAUACCCUGGUAGUCCACGCCGUAAACGAUGCUAACUCGUUUUUGGUAUUUCGGUAUCAGAGACUA